GUACUCUGGUUUCUCAUCAGAUCGUAUAAAUCUUUCACCUUUUACUAAAGAUUUCCAUGGAGAGGAACAAUUCUGAGUCUUAACCCAAUUUUUUGAGGCCUUGCUUUUAGCAGGGCU
ensembl:snRNA U5 U5 spliceosomal RNA